rnacentral:rRNA from 1 species
GACGAACGCUGGCGGCGUGCUUAACACAUGCAAGUCGAACGGAAAGGCCCUUCGGGGUACUCGAGUGGCGAACGGGUGAGUAACACGUGGGUGAUCCGCCCUGCACUUUGGGAUAAGCCUGGGAAACUGGGUCUAAUACCGAAUAGGACCACGCUCUUCAUGGGGUGUGGUGGAAAGCUUUUGCGGUGUGGGAUGGGCCCGCGGCCUAUCAGCUUGUUGGUGGGGUAAUGGCCUACCAAGGCGACGACGGGUAGCCGGCCUGAGAGGGUGACCGGCCACACUGGGACUGAGAUACGGCCCAGACUCCUACGGGAGGCAGCAGUGGGGAAUAUUGCACAAUGGGCGCAAGCCUGAUGCAGCGACGCCGCGUGAGGGAUGACGGCCUUCGGGUUGUAAACCUCUUUCAGUACCGACGAAGCGCAAGUGACGGUAGGUACAGAAGAAGGACCGGCCAACUACGUGCCAGCAGCCGCGGUAAAAC